CCCACGCCCGAUCUUGAAUCAGAACAGACCAUCGAUCCUGGUUCGUCUUGCUAUCGCGGUCUCGCCCCUGCGGAGUCAUCGGCCAGCAGCGGACCGGCCCACCACAGCACCACUCACCUCCUCCAUAUGCCCUAGCCACCCGUCAGUCACAACCCUGCUUCCUGUCUCAUCUGUAGAGGACGCCGGCGGUACAGAGCAGUCCCCGGACCUGCAAGUGUCGAUGGCAUCGGCGAGUUGCGGUGAGCGCGGGCGGGUCAGGCAUGAGUCCUGCCCUUCGGCCCCUCGCUUUCUAAUUUGCAGAUGACGAAUUGACGAUGCAGCCAGCGAGCCUCGGCUCGCCCACAACCGUCAAGCUCACCUCCGCCACGCCACCAGCCCCUAAGAUUUCGCCGCCGUUGCCGGUGAAAUCGCCUCCACCCCCUGGCUCCAGUGAGCUUUCACAAAGAACACGCAAUCCCCAACUUAGUGCAUUGGGAUUCAACUUAAAUUUGGUGACACGAUAGAUCCAUGUAUCCCAACUCUUCCAUCCAAAUUCCUCCGAUGACAAUUGGAUUGGUGUGUUAUAUAUCUCCCGUCAAUUUUAGGUAAAUGUGUUUGUAUAUCAUCUGAACUCAAUCCUGCUGAGAAUUUUCAGAUGCACUUAAAUUCUAAGUAUAAUAUUUUAUUUGUUGUUCUUCGUUGGAACUGCCAAUGCUUCAAUCUGUGAGCCUGAAAAUGAGAGCCCGUACCUCCAGUAAUCUAACUAUCCCUUCGGCAAUCAAAUAAAACAAAUGGUGAGUACGUAUGGCAGUAGAUGGUGUGUCAAUCUCCUGCUGAAUGUUUCAGUUAUCUCAGCUAAUAUAAAAGAUGAAAACAAGCAACAAGGAUACUAGAUUUCACCACCUGAACCCUAUGGUUUUAGCCACACAGACCAUGUUCAAAGGAAAGAUAGAGGAUUAAAUUAACAGAAUUACAGUAUAACAUGCAAAACUGACUAACAUGGGCAUGCUCUUUCCCUGUUCCAUUUGGUCGAUUGAGCUUCAUAUAUAAUUCCUGGGCAUGGACCUAUCCUACCUCUUAUUUAUUUAUUCCCUCUCUUCUUCAGUACCCUGAAUCCCCACUCUGGCAUUCUCUUUCCUUCUCUCUGAUCCACCUAUGGUGCCAUCAAUGUAGUUCAAAACCAUUUUAUUAAGUAUGAGACGUCAAAUUGCACAUCAUGAUACCAAAGCAUAAAAGUUAUGUGUUGCAUACUUGCACUUAGAUGUUUGGAUGACUUUGUGUUCCAAACCAUCUUUCUUUUUGAGAAUGUAUAUUUUGCUUGGUGGAAGCUUCCUAUAGUUAUUCAUCUCCUUUAUUGGUUACAGAUGCAAAGAAGUCUGCUAGGGCAGUUACUGAAGUAGAGUUAUUUUGGUUGUUCAGCUUUUAAUCUCGUGCUGGUAGGAAUGCCUUUGAACAGUUACACUUAAUCGUAGUUAAUACUCCCAAUGUCCCCAUCUAUAAGACAUUUUGGCAAGUCGAUUUGGCUUGCUAAAACCUCUUGUAAAAAAAGAAACCAAGAAGUAUGUGUUUACUUUGUUAAUCUCUUCCCCCACUUUUUGACGUGGGUGAUAGAUAAUUUGCUGAUGUUAUCUAUGGAAACAUGAAUGGUUUUCUUACCAUAUUAACAGAGCCAUUGAUUUAUGCCGGUGAAUCUUACACUGUCAGAAGGGUGUUAUAUGUUUCUCCUAUCAAAUUGGCAACAUAUUUAUAUAACCUGUAAAAUAAAGUAAAAUAUAUAGUUCGUUAUACAACCUCCUUAGAUUGAGCAUGUGUUUUUAUCUAUCACUUUUGCCGGGUGUUGCCCCUUAUGGAGGUGGAUCUGACCUCUGUAAGCUUGCUGCGGCCGAAGAAAGAAGAGUGUACUGAUGAGGAGGAAGAAUGGAAGGCAGCGUCGGCAGCAAACCGGCUGAGACCAUGGAUGAGAAACGUAACGGCUUGGGGAACAGCGAGAGCGUGAUGGAGAUCAGCGGCGUAGACGUGGCAGUGGCGAGGCUCGCCGCAUGGAGGACCCAGUUAUCAAUGAUGCAUUCUUGAUUGAUCUGUUUAUGGAUGUAAGCUUUGGUUCUGUCUUUUGUUGGUAACUUUUCUGAUGCAGCGAUAUUUUCUUCAUAGCGAAUGCAGGUCCUGAAGAUGCUAUUCACAGGUUGAACUUCUCCAAACAUUGAGGCACAUUAACGUAGACUUUUUGUUGAGAUAGUCACUAUGUUAUAUCCCAAAUGUUUUGUUUUUUGUACUGGCAGCAAACUGCUACAUCAGAAGAAUUCCAUAUUCCAUCUGUCCUAUGUAUUUAUGCGGCAAUAAAUUAAAGGCAAAAUAGAACAGCAUUUGAAAAGUUUUCUUAAA